AAGAAGAGGACAGAUUUCCCAAGUCAUCAGUCCAAGGUAUAUGAACAGUCCCAUUGGACUUGGUGUCUACAACACACAGUAGGUGCCCGCAACCCACCGUAGGUGCCUAGUACACUUCUGGUGAAGGAUGGAAGGUGAGAGCCACUGCUGAGGUCCAAAAUGCCACCCAAAUUCAGGGCAACCUCUAGAAAGGAGCUGCAAAAAUAUACUUUCCUCCCUUGGCCCAAAGCCACCGAGUGCCUGCCCUAGAAUAGUCCCUGCUGAGGAGCCCUGAGAAAGCUGCAGCAAGUCCAGAGAGGAGGAAUGAACUCCAUCGAGCACGGGAAUGGGGUGGGGCAGCCUGCACGGGCCAAAAAAAGGGCCUGAGACGCUUUGCUCAAAAAGACAAAGAGAGGCGAGGGAAGGAAGACUAUAAACUUGCCAGGAGCCGGGGCAAGGUGAACCCCAGCUCCUGGCGCCUUCCUGUUCGCAUUCAUUCCACAAAUGCCGGCCAGAUCGCAGAACCAAAGGCGAGAGGAGGGGACCUCCCGGCAGCCCGGGAGAACUAAGUUCAGGACAGGAGCGGGGAAGGCCUGCUUCUCAGAAGAGGAGUGACUUGGGCGACAAACUUGUGGGACAUCAAAAAUGAAAGCAAACCGAUGCAGUAAGGCGCUGAGCCAACCUACAUGCCACGGGGCAGGUCACCAAGGACGUUUAACGAAUUGGUCAUUUGUGUGCAUCGGGCAAAAGAAUCCACCCCCGUGGUCCGGUAACAAUUUUGCGACCCAGAUGGGACAAUGCCUGAAACUCUGGAGCCACAGUAAGACAGACUCCAGUCCCUUGGCACUUUAAAAACUUCAAAGAGAGAAACAGUUUCAAGUCUGGACAUCUGACUGGGCUACACAAUGUCCUGAGAUGGGUCAUUAUGAGAAAAAUGUCAGUCACAGCUUUAAGACUUAACUUUGGAAGGAACCAAUGAAAAAGCCAAUUGGAAGCUUUCAGGAAAAGUCCAGCACUGCAUUUACACAAAGUCUAUGGGAAGAGGUCAGUAGAAAUCAUCUAAUCUUAAGUCGUGACAUCAUCCAUUCAAGUCCUUGGCACAGUCCCUCGCUGCUACACAAUGUUCUGAGAUGGGUCAUUAUGAGAAAAAUGGCAAUCACAGCUUUAAGACUUAACUUUGGGAGGAACCAAUGAAAAAGGCAAUUGGAAGGUGAUUGAACAGUGUCCAUAUCCUGGUGAAGAGAAUUCCUGUUCUUGGGCAGCAGUCCCCCUCCAGCCACCCGGGCCGCGCGGCCUCCAGCUCCCGCGCUUGGCGGCCCGCUUCCCAGGAAGCGAAGGGACUUGGAAACCCAGGUCACCCAGCUGUGCCACACCCCACUGCUGUGGCCGCGGCACUCUCCUGGCUCACGGACAUCACCGCUGCGUUGUCUGUGAUGAGCCUCACGGGCCACCAUCCUUCACCACUUCCUCUCUGGCGGCUCCAGUGGCGGCUUCCCCAUAGUGUGUUGAUGAGGGUGGAAACUUUGAUUGGGCUAUUUCUAUGGAGGGUGGGUCUGGAUUGGUUCACUGGAGUACUUAAGAGAGCUGAAUGCCCUCACAAUGACGAUUGGAGAAGCUUGGAGAUGCAGACAGAAAGACGUUUGGAGAUGCUAAGCUAAGAGAUGAAGCCCAGAGUUUGCCCAGGAGAAGCUAAGAGAAGGCCCCCAGAUGCUUAGAGAGAAAUGCCCUAGGAG